rnacentral:lncRNA from 1 species
CGGGCCUGCUCCACAAAGUUUGAAGGGAGCUCAGAGAUGCCCGGGAAGACGGGGGGCCCGAAUGGAAGCAGAAAAACACUUAUGGCCGCUGGGAAGUUGGGAGAGCCAGGCUGGGACUCCGGCAGGCCCAGGGAAAGUUCCCCUUCUAGGCUCUUUAUUAAAAAAUUUAAAAGGAGGAGUUGAGGCGCCUUGAAUUUUCCUUCGCGAGUUUGGAGACCAGCCGAUUUUUCACGAAGCAAGCAAAGACCGCGGUCCCGGAUCCUGCAACAUAUACCUCAUUUUCUC